GGAUUAGAUACCCUGGUAGUCCACGCUGUAAACGAUGGGCACUAGUUGUGGGGCGAAUUGUUCCGCGACCAAGUUAACGCAGUAAGUGCCCCGCCUGGGGAGUACGGUCGCAAGAUUAAAACUCAAAGGAAUUGACGGGGGCCCGCACAAGCGGUGGAGUAUGUGGUUUAAUUCGAUGCAACGCGAAGAACCUUACCUGGGCUUGACAUCCAAGGCAAUCCAUAGAGAUAUGGAGUAUGGUAGCAAUAUCAUCUUUGAGACAGGUGGUGCAUGGUUGUCGUCAGCUCGUGCUG
rnacentral:rRNA from 1 species